rnacentral:rRNA from 1 species
GGGUCAGUAGGUUGGUCGUGCCACCGGUACGUACUGGUCUCACUGAUUCCUCCUUCCUGAAGAACCGUAAUGCCAUUAAUUUGGUGUUGUGGGGAAACAGGACUGUUACUUUGAAAAAAUUAGAGUGUUUGAAGCAAGCUAACGCUUGAAUACAUUAGCAUGGAAUAAUGAAAUAGGACGAUCGAUCCUAUUUUGUUGGUUUCUAGGAUUGACGUA